UACGUAGGGAGCAAGCGUUGUCCGGAAUCAUUGGGCGUAAAGCGCGCGUAGGUGGCCCCAUAAGUCCGCUGUGAAAGUCAAAGGCUCAACCUUUGAAAGCCGAUGGAUACUGCAGGGCUAGAGUCCGGAAGAGGCGAGUGGAAUUCCUGGUGUAGCGGUGGAAUGCGCAGAUAUCAGGAGGAACACCAAUAGCGAAGGCAGCUCGCUGGGACGGUACUGACGCUAAGGCGCGAAAGCGUGGGGAGCGAACAGG
rnacentral:rRNA from 1 species